rnacentral:rRNA from 1 species
CCUGAGAAACCCAAAAGAUUGAAUAGGGAGAUUCAUCGUCAGCUCAUUUUGUAUAUAUGCAAGUUGUGAUAUGGGUUACUACUUGUAGUAUUGCCUGUACAUUCUUGUAUAUUUAAUUGCAAAGUGUAGUCGGCGUGCACUUCUCCCUUAGUAGAACGUCGCGACCCGUUGAGAGUAAAUAUAAUAUAUUAGUCUACGGCCCAAGUGAUAGCUUUUAGUAAAUAGUUUAUACUAUUAAUUGAAAAUCCUUGGUGUCACCUGGCUAACACUUGGCGGUAUUCGUACGGUAUUAAGUCGCAUAUUUAUAUGCGUCCUGUCCAUCACAAGCGAGGUUAGUUUACUGAUAGUGC